CUUCGGCUGACGAGUCCCAGAUAGGACGAAACGCGCGUCCUGUAU
rnacentral:hammerhead_ribozyme from 1 species